rnacentral:lncRNA from 1 species
CUCUCUCUCUCUCUCUCUCUCUCUCUCUAGUCCCCCAACAAAAAUCUUUAUAGAUUACGUACAGAGGAAACCUACAGACUGGAGAGCAUUAACUAAGAGGAUGGGAAGAAGAGAUAGGGGACCCUUUCAAGUGGGUGAGUGAAUGAAUGAAUGAAUGCGAGGUGGAAUGCUAUCAGCUAUCAAUAGUCUCUGUUUUGUGCUUAGUUUGAGUUUUCUCUUACCUUUGGCAUUCACUUCUCCCAAACUACCGCAGCUGAGGCUUCUUCCAAGUAGAAGGAUACUCGCUGCAGCAAGGCAGUGGAAAGAAGCUUGGAGGAAGCGAUGGACAACGUAGGGAGGGGCUGAGGUGUCUUAUAUAGAGUUCAGAUGAUGAAGAGUAAAU